UGGCGCAAUGGUAGCGCGGCUCGCUGUUAACGAGAAGGUUGUAGGUUCGAAUCCUAC
rnacentral:tRNA from 1 species